rnacentral:rRNA from 1 species
AACGCGAAGAACCUUACCCAGGCUUGACAUGCACCGGACAGUAUCAGAAACGAUACCUUCCUUCGGGACCGGUGCACAGGUGCUGCAUGGCUGUCGUCAGCUCGUGCCGUGAGGUGUUUGGUUAAGUCCAGCAACGAGCGCAACCCUUAUCAUUAGUUGCCAACAUUUAAGGUGGGAACUCUAAUGAGACUGCCUGGGUUAACCAGGAGGAAGGUGAGGAUGACGUCAAGUCCGCAUGGCCCUUAUGUCUGGGGCUACACACGUGCUACAAUGGUCGGUACAGAAGGCAGCGAAACCGCAAGGCGGAGCAAAUCCCAAAAGCCGAUCUCAGUUCAGAUUGUAGUCUGCAACUCGACUACAUGAAGACGGAAUUGCUAGUAAUGGCAGGUCAGCAACACUGCCGUGAAUACGUUCCCGGGCCUUGUACACACCGCGUGUCU